UCCAUCAAGUAAUGAAAACUCAAGUUGCAGAGGGAGGACGAAAGGCGUGCGUCAACAUUAUUUUAUCAGAUGAGUUGUUGUCAUCUUAUCAUUACCUACUUUUGUCUAACAUAUUUCUUAUUUCUAUACAUACAUUAUUAACUAUUACUGUCUGUUUUUUUGAAGUGGAAAUGAACUUGAUCUUACGCUGUGGGAAACAUAUGUCAACCAAUUUAUGGCAUACACAAAAGAAAAUUCCACAGGUGGCCCCAAAACUAUCAUAAUCACUCAUGCUAUGGGCCAACAAAGUUCAAAUUCAUUUUUUACAGCUACGAGAAAGCUCCACAUCUCUAAUGCUUGGAAUGGAUCAAAACUAUUUAUUGAUUAUGAUCAUCCACAAGUCACUUCCUUCAAAGCUAAGCUGGGACACAUUGCUAGCUCCAACAUUCUUUCGCAGCAACUAUCCCAAAGUUCUACAUCUUAGGGGGCAUUUGAAGACAAAUCGUUCUCAUAUACCAAUGAUGUCAAAAGUAUUGUGGAUAUCAUUUCUCUUCAAAAUUCAACUUUUUGCAACACAAUUGGGACAACUAAGAGGUUCAAGUCAAGUCGGUUUAGUUGGUACUAUGAGCAGUGUUUAGCUUGUAAGAGAACUAAUAAAUCUCCUGGGGUGCCUUUCGUAUGUAGUUGUUGCGAAGAUAAAGUUGUACCAUCACAAAGUAUUACUUAUGUUGGUUUGUCUGCACAUGAUUUAAGAGACGUUAUGAAAAAGAUCAUCCAUAAAUAUACCCUUCUCACCUAGAUAAUCUGUUGGGCAAAGACUUUGGUUUUCGUGUGAAGUACCAACCGGACUAUAAGCAACCAUAUGUUGUCAAGCUUACCGAGGAUAAACAAAUCAUUCAAAUGAUCACAGAUGCAAUGGUUCAACUUGAGCAAACUUCAAAAGUUCCCAACAAUCCUCAAAUUAUCAAAGGGAUAUACACAGCUUCUAACCUACCAUUGUCCGACAAAGAAGUUGUCACUCCUACUCGGGUACCUAUUCCUACCAUGUCUGUUUCCCAAAACUCGAGUGACAAAGUUAAUUCAAGCAACACUCCAUGUAAGAGGUUAACCAAAGCAAAUUGUUUUGAGGACCUAGGAACUUCACAUAUGUUGUCACCAAAGCUAUAUGCAACCAAGCGAGGCAAAUAUUGCAAGAAAACAUGAGCCAUCACACUUUGUGACGUUUUUUUUGUACAACAAGCUUCACUUAUGUUGUUAAGAAAAAUUUAUUUUGUUAAUUUGGGAGCAUGUUCAACCUCCAUAUUUGUUUCUACCUCAUUAAUCAUUUUUGAUAUGUAUUCACAUCCACCUUUGACUAUGGUUGUUGGUUAAUUUGUAACCUAAUGUUAUUCACAUUGACAUUUCUAAUGUAACAAUCUAAAUCUUUAUUUAACUUGGCAUGAGUUUUCAAUUAUUG